rnacentral:rRNA from 1 species
AUUGAACGCUGGCGGCAUGCCUUGCACAUGCAAGUCGAACGGCAGCACGGGAGCUUGCUCCUGGUGGCGAGUGGCGAACGGGUGAGUAAUACAUCGGAACGUACCCAGUAGUGGGGGAUAACGCACCGAAAGGUGCGCUAAUACCGCAUACGACCUACGGGUGAAAGCGGGGGACCGUAAGGCCUCGCGCUAUUGGAGCGGCCGAUGUCUGAUUAGCUAGUUGGCGGGGUAAAAGCCCACCAAGGCGACGAUCAGUAGCCGGUCUGAGAGGACGAGCAGACACACUGGGACUGAGACACGGCCCAGAGUCCUACGGGAGGCAGCAGUGGGGAAUUUUGGACAAUGGGGGCGACCCUGAUCCAGCAAUGCCGCGUGUGCGAAGAAGGCCUUCGGGUUGUAAAGCACUUUUGUCAGGGAAGAAAUCUUUCAGGCUAAUACCCUUGGAAGGAUGACGGUACCUGAAGAAUAAGCACCGGCUAACUACGUGCCAGCCGCCGCCGUAA